UGGGCUCUGAGGGGUAGGGGACAGGCUGAACAGAUAGCAAGUAUCAAAAAUUGGGACAGGAGGUGGGGGGUAAUAGGUGCCUAUGUGAGAAAAAGACCCAAAAAUCGGGACUGUCCUU